rnacentral:rRNA from 1 species
UACGGAGGAUGCAAGCGUUAUCCGGAUUUAUUGGGUUUAAAGGGUGCGCAGGUUGUUUGAUAGGUCAGUGGUGAAAGUCUGUCGCUUAACGGUAGGAUUGCCAUUGAUACUGUUAGACUUGAAUAUGGAUGAGGUAGGCGGAAUGUGUAGUGUAGCGGUGAAAUGCAUAGAUAUUACACAGAACACCAAUUGCGAAGGCAGCUUUCUGGCCCAUUACUGACGCUGAGGCACGAAAGCGUGGGGAUCGAACAGGA